rnacentral:rRNA from 1 species
UGAGGGGGAUAUUUGGGGGCAAUGGGGGCAACCCUGACCCAGCGACGCCGCGUGAGGGAAGACGGUCUUCGGAUUGUAAACCUCUGUCUUUGGGGACGAAAAAGGACGGUACCCAAGGAGGAAGCUCCGGCUAACUACGUGCCAGCAGCCGCGGUAAUACGUAGGGAGCGAGCGUUGUCCGGAAUUACUGGGUGUAAAGGGAGCGUAGGCGGGAAAACAAGUUGGAUGUGAAAACUGUGGGCUUAACCUGCAGACUGCAUUCAAAACUGUUUUCUUGAGUGAAGUAGAGGCAAGCGGAAUUCCUAGUGUAGCGGUGAAAUGCGUAGAUAUUAGGAAGAACACCAGUGGCGAAGGCGGCUUACUGGACGGUAACUGAUGUUGAGGCUCGAAAGCGUGGGGAGCAAACAGGAUUAGAUACCCUGGUAGU